rnacentral:rRNA from 1 species
CUUAGUGGCGGACGGGUGAGUAACGCGUGGGGAACCUGCCCUGUACAGGGGGAUAACACUUAGAAAUAGGUGCUAAUACCGCAUAAGCGCACAGUAUCGCAUGAUACAGUGUGAAAAACUCCGGUGGUACAGGAUGGACCCGCGUCUGAUUAGCUGGUUGGCGGGGUAACGGCCCACCAAGGCGACGAUCAGUAGCCGGCCUGAGAGGGUGGACGGCCACAUUGGGACUGAGACACGGCCCAAACUCCUACGGGAGGCAGCAG